rnacentral:lncRNA from 1 species
CAGAGUCGGUGUGUCCUUGCAUGGCAUACUGUGUACGAUGCUGAUUGCGAAUGCAGGGAGUGCAAUAAGGUCUCUGAAGCUUGUUGGUUCUGUUCUGACCACGGAUCAUCUGUAACAGUGACUCCAUUCCAUUAUAUGUAAUUUUACCCCCUCCACUCCACUAUGGGUUUCUAACUUUUGAAACCCUGACAUGAUACUUGCUUCAUAUCUGUGAACAUCUCUCCAUCACUAUGAAAAAACCCAAAAGUGGGUAAUGCCUAUUACCGAGUAAAUUGGGCACCUUUCAGCCCAUUCCUUGUUGCUCUCUUGCUCUUGCUCCAAGAGAGGAAUUCCAUCUUAAUUCCUCUCUUGCUCC